GCCUCUGUUCCUGUGGAAGCUCCACACAGAGCAGCUCUUUCUUCUGCAGCACCUGUGAACUGCAGCUGUGAGGACUGGAAGUCCUACAGGUCCAAAUUUGUAGGCUAAAAGCUUGUCUCUAUGGACAUGGCAGACAGUCACACUGCUGAUCCUCUCCUGGGACAUCGUGGAGCAGAGUCUCGUUUUCAGACGCCACAGAAGAACUGAGGCUUCUCUCUGCUUCACAAGAGAACACUGAACCACCAGCAGGAGCCGGACCAGGGUCUGACCAGGGUCUCCACUGGGACCUCCAGCAAGAACCAGGGUCUCCUGAUCAA